GGAGGGUGCAAGCGUUAUCCGGAUUCACUGGGUUUAAAGGGUGUGUAGGCGGGUUUGUAAGUCAGUGGUGAAAUCCCGAAGCUUAACUUCGGAACUGCCAUUGAUACUAUAAGUCUUGAGUACUGUGGAGGUAGGCGGAAUACGUCAUGUAGCGGUGAAAUGCAUAGAUAUGACGUGGAACACCGGUUGCGAAGGCAGCUUACUACACGGUCACUGACGCUGAGGCACGAAAGCGUGGGUAGCGAACAGGAUUAGAUACCCUGGUAGUCCACGCCCUAAACGAUGGAUACUCGACAUAUGCGAUACACAGUAUGUGUCUGAGCGAAAGCAUUAAGUAUCCCACCUGGGAAGUACGUCCGCAAGGRKG
rnacentral:rRNA from 1 species